rnacentral:rRNA from 1 species
UGAGCGCUAGCGGUGCGCCUAACACAUGCAAGUCGAGCGGUAGAAUUGAAUAGCUUGCUAUUUAAUUUGAGAGCGGCGAACGGGUGAGUAACAUGUUGAUAUCUGCCCCCAAGUCAGGGAUAGCCAUUGGAAACGAUGAUUAAUACCGGAUAGUCUCUACGGAGUAAAAAUUUAUUGCUUGGGGAGGAGUCUACAUUCUAUCAGUUAGUUGGCGAGGUAAAAGCUCACCAAGACUAUGACGGAUAGCUGGUCUGAGAGGAUGAUCAGCCACAAUGAAACUGAGACACGGUUCAUACUCCUACGGGAGGCAGCAGUGAGGAAUCUUCCACAAUGGACGAAAGUCUGAUGGAGCGACACCGCGUGAAGGAUGAAGGCCUAACGGUUGUAAACUUCUUUUCUGAAGGAGCAUAAUGAGAGUACUUCAGGAAUAAGGGACGGCUAAAUACGUGCCAGCAGCCGCGGUAAUACGUAAGUCCCGAGUGUUACCCGGAAUCAUUGGGUGUAAAGGGUUCGUAGGCGGAUAAUUAAGUUGGGUAUUAAAGACCGAGGCUCAACCUCGUGUUUGUGCCCAAAACUGGUUAUCUAGAAUUAGGGAGAGGUAAGUGGAAUUCUGUGUGUA